rnacentral:rRNA from 1 species
AUUAGGAAUCUUGCGCAAUGGGGGAAACCCUGACGCAGCGACGCCGCGUGCGGGAUGACGGCAUUCGUGUUGUAAACCGCUUUUAUCGGGGAAGAAGAAUGUGACGGUACCCGAUGAAUAAGCCCCGGCUAACUACGUGCCAGCAGCCGCGGUAAUACGUAGGGGGCGAGCGUUGUCCGAAGUUACUGGGCGUAAAGAGCGCGUAGGCGGUUUCUUAAGUUUGGGGUGAAAGGUUCAGCGCUCAACGCGAACACUGCCUUGAAUACUGGGAGACUUGAGUUCGGGAGGGGGUAGCGGAAUUCCUGGUGUAGCGGUGAAAUGCGUAGAUAUCAGGAGGAACACCGAUGGCGAAGGCAGCUACCUGGCCUAGAACUGACGCUGAGGCGCGAAAGCGUGGGGAGCGAACGG